AGUGAACGCUGGCGGUAGGCCUAACACAUGCCAGUCGAACGGCAGCACAGUAAGAGCUUGCUCUUACGGGUGGCGAGUGGCGGACGGGUGAGGAAUACAUCGGAAUCUACUUUUUCGUGGGGGAUAACGUAGGGAGACUUACGCUAAUACCGCAUACGACCUACGGGUGAAAGCAGGGGAUCUUCGGACCUUGCGCGAUUGAAUGAGCCGAUGUCGGAUUAGCUAGUUGGCGGGGUAAAGGCCCACCAAGGCGACGAUCCGUAGCUGGUCUGAGAGGAUGAUCAGCCACACUGGAACUGAGACACGGUCCAGACUCCUACGGGAGGCAGCAGUGGGGAAUAUUGGACAAUGGGCGCAAGCCUGAUCCAGCCAUACCGCGUGGGUGAAGAAGGCCUUCGGGUUGUAAAGCCCUUUUGUUGGGAAAGAAAAGCAGCAGGUUAAUACCCCGCUGUUCUGACGGUACCCAAAGAAUAAGCACCGGCUAACUUCGU
rnacentral:rRNA from 1 species